rnacentral:rRNA from 1 species
UACGUAGGGUGCAAGCGUUGUCCGGAAUUAUUGGGCGUAAAGGGCUCGUAGGCGGUCCAUCGCGUCGGGGAGUGAAAAGCUGGGGCUCAACCCCAGUCCUGCUUCCGAUACGGGUGGACUAGAGGUAUGCAGGGGAGAACGGAAUUCCUGGUGUAGCGGUGAAAUGACGCAGAGUAUCAGGAGGAACACCGGUGGCGAAGGCGGCAUCCUGGACCGAAAUUGACGCUGAGGCGCGAAAGCCAGGGGAGCAAACGGG